rnacentral:lncRNA from 1 species
UUUUUUUUUUUUUUUUUUUUUUCCUUUUUUCAAAGUAAUCUCUCCCCCUCAGUGGGGCUCAAACUCAUGACCAGGAGAUCAAGAUCUUUUGCAUGCUCCACCGACUGAGCCAGCUAGAUGCCCCAUACUGUUUCAUUUCUAACAGCAAAACUCCUUGAGAGCUGUUUAUCUUUGUCUCCAAUUUCUCUUCCACAAAGUUCAGCCACAUUAAGUGCCUAAUUCAAUGGUCUUUAGUAACUUUAUAGACUCCUGCAGCCAUUACCAUAAUCUAAUUUUAGAACAUUUUCAUCACCCCCCAAAAGGAACUCCACAUUCACUGGCAGUCACUUGCAUUCCUCACCCCGAACCCACCUCCAUGCCCUAGGCAACCACAAUCUAUGCUUUAUCUCCACAGAUUUGUCUCUUCUGGACAUUUCACAUAAAUGGAAUCAUGCAAUAUAUAUUUUUUUGUGACACAAAGUUCAUCUGUGUUGUUGCAUGUAUCAUUGGCUCAUUCCCUUUUACUUCCAAAUAAUAUUCCUCUGUAGGGAUAUAUUACAUUUGGUUUACACAUUUAUCAGUCGAUGGAUAUUUGGGAUGUUUCCAUUUUUUGGCUGUUGUGAAUAAUGCUAUAGACAUUCACAGACACGUUUCUGUGUGAACAGAAACUGUGUGUUAGAUGUGUCUUAGAUUCUCUGUGUGUUAGAUUCUCUCAGGUGGGCUUCUCUAGGAGUGGAGUUGCUGAGUCAUAUGGUGGUCCUGUUUAAUUUAAGAAACUGACAGGUGGUUUUCACAGCGCCUGUACCAUUUUAUAUUCCCAUUAGCAAAGUAGGAGGGUUCUGAUUUCCCUAUAUUGUCACCAACAUUUGUUAUCACCUGAUUUUGUUUAAAAAAGAUUUUAUUUGAGAGAGACAGUGAACAUGAGUAAGGUGAGGAGUAGAGGGAGAGGGAAAAGCAGACUCUGCUGAGCAGGGAGCCCAAGGCGAGGCUUGAUUCCAGGACCCUGGGAUCAUGACCUGAGCCCAAGGCAGAUGCUUAACCAACUAAGCCACUCAGGUGCCCCUCACCUGACUUUUUGAUUAUAGCCUCCCAGGGGGUGUGAAAUGGUAUCUCAUUGUGGCUUUGAUUUGCAUUUCUCUGAUGACUAGUGUUGCCUCCCACUGACUUUCAAAUCCAUGCCAAUCAGAUGGCUCCCAGCCAUGGCUCUUUGGAAAUGGCUCCAGUCAAGUUUAUCAGUGAUGUCCAUGUUGCUGAAACCAAUGGCCAAUUCUCAGGCCUCCUCUCUCAUGAUGCAGCAGCAUCUGACCAGCUGAUCACUCUCUUCUUGAAGUGCUUUCUUCAUUUGGCUUUCAGGGAUGCCACAGCUGCCUUCUCAGCUUCUCAUGGUUCAAAUGGCUUAACUUUGGAGAAACUUCCUCCUAUCCACUUCUCUUACGGAUUUACACUCAUUUCCUCUGUGCAUUCAGUGGCAUGGCUCUGAAACUUUUUUUUUAAAUUUUUUAUUUAUUUAUGAUAGUCACACAGAGAGAGAGAGAGGCAGAGAGACAUAGGCAGAGGGAGAAGCAGGCUCCAUGCACCGGGAGCCCGACGUGGGAUUCGAUCCCGGGUCUCCAGGAUCGCGUCCUGGGCCAAAGGCAGGCGCUAAACCGCUGCGCCACCCAGGGUUCCCAUGGCUCUGAAACUUGUAUCUUCAGAUCAGACCUCACUCCAGAAUUCCCGACUUGUAUACCCAAUUGCCUCCAAGUCACUUCCUCAUCACCAGACCCAACGCCUCAUCUGUCCUCCUCUUCCUCCCUCCUUGAAACCUUCCAAGAAAACUGCUCCUGCCACAGCAUCCGUUAUCUCAGUAAACAGAACUCUGACAUUCUAGCUGCUCACAUCAAAAAUGCUAGAACUGCACUGCACACAACAUAUCCCCUACCACAGAGGACUAUUUAAUUUUUUAAAUUCAUUCUUUGAUGAUGUCAAUCAGUCAUGAAACCAUUUACCAAGUAUGUACUGAAUUACACAUUUUGCCAGGUUUGCAAAUGCAGAAAUGAGUAAGAGGCAGCCCCUGCCUUCCAGGAGCUCCUUGUCAAGUAAACAAAGAGUGUGAUCCAGAGUUACACAAAGACACAUGCCUCUGUGAUUUCUAUUUUCACAGCUGAGGGACAACUUAAAUUAUUAAAGCUAUAAAAGAUUAUAAAUUUAGAUCCUCAGUUGCACUGGCCACAUCUGACCCACUUCAUGGCCACAGGUAGCUGGUAGCCACCACAAUGGACAGUACAUAUCUAGAACAUUGCCAUCAUGGCAGAGGAUUCUACUGGACCCUCUGCUGCCCUGACCAUGGACACUGCCCCUUCUCUUUUCUUCCUCUCACACCUAACAUUCCAAUCUAUCAGCGAACCCCACUGAUCCUACCUUCAGGACAGAUCUAGAGCUCCUCACUGUCAGGGGCACCUGGGAGGCUCAGUCAGUUAAGCAUCUGCUUUUGGCUAAGGUCGUGAUCCUGGGGUCCUGGGAUCGAGCCCCACAUUGGGCUUCCUGCUUGGUGGGGAGUCUGCUUCUCCCUCUCAUGCUCUGCUCUCUCUCAAAUAGAUAAAAUUUUUAAAAAAGAAAAAAAAAAAAAAACCAAAAACCCAAACUCGUCACUGUCACCACAGUUGUCCCUGAGCUGCAUCUCCUUCCCAAAUUAUAGCUGUCUAGAUUAUCACAGCACCUCAUAGUGGUUCCUGCCCCCUACAGUUCAUUGUCCAUGCAGUAGCCAUACAAAUCAAAUCAAAUCAUGACUUUCCUGGCCUCAAAAACUGCCCAUUACUCUCAUCUUAGAGGGAAAUCCAGACCUUACAGUGGCCAAGGUCCUGCACAUUCUCUCUGACUUCAUUGUGUACUCGUUUCCUAAAGUCCUGCUCCAGAUGCCUCCUGGCCACGUCUCCAAUAUUAGGUGCACUAGAGGGAUUUUGCCCUUGCCGUUUCUCAUUUGAUCCGUGUCUUAUUUUGUUUAAUUUUCUUUUUAUUGUCUGACCAUCCAUUACAAUCUAAACUCCACAGGCACCUGGCUAGCUCAGUCAGUUAAGCAUCUGACUCCUGAUUUCAUCUCAGGUCAUGAUUUCAGGGAUAUGAAAUUGAGCCCCAUGUCGGGCUCCACAAGAUUCUUUCUCUACCUCUGUGCACUAGCCCCUCAAAGAAUCUAAACUCCUUUAGGGAGCAGAUUUUUGUCUAUUGUGAUUUUUUUUUUAAAGAUUUUAUUUAUUUGUUCAUGAGAGACACACAGAGAGAGGCAGAGAUACAGGCAGAGAGAGGAGCAGGCUCCCCAUGGGACUCGAUCCCAGCACCCCGGGAUCACAACCGUAGCCAAAGGCAGACACACAACUACUGAACCAUCCCAGCACCCCAUCUGUUCUGAUUUCUUCACUGCUGUCUCUACAGUGCCUUGAAAAUGCCUGGCACAUAGAAGUACUCAGAAAAAAAAAAAAAAAAAAAAAAAAGAAGUACUC